CAAUGAUUGAGAAGCAGUUUGACCAAUGGCGUGCGUAAGGCGGGACUUAACAAGAAAGGUCAAAACAGUGCAGAAACGCACACCAAAAAUUGUCUACCAUAGAAAGCAAAAGGGGAAAUUUCCUGCGACAUUGUGAGGUCAUCAUACUGGUGCACCCUUGGCCUUGUCAGUGGGUGAGGUCACAUCACUAAACUGUCUGAAGAAGCAUCAACAUGGAGAUUGAAUUGGAGACCAUUGUUCUGUUCGAAUUGUAGUUUGUGGAAGAUGCAAUGAUGAAAUUAAUUUGAAUUGUCAAUGUUGUAUUUUAAGCAUAUAAGCGAUGUUCAGAUGAUGGUACUGUAGCACUGUUUAAAGUUUUUAAUAUUGUUGUUAUUUACAAUGGAAACUACUGUAACAGAAGAAAAUAAAGAGGGAAAAAUACAAAUUAUUUUCUCUAAUUACUUUUUGUGACAUAUAACAUACAUUUCAUGAACUACAUAUAAAAUUAUCUGUGAGCCAUAAUCAAAAUCAAAAUGCUGUACAUCCCUUUCAAAAUUAUGGUCCAUCACAGUUCAUUUUUUCAAAUAACGGUCAACACAUGUUAUUUCAAUUUACAGUCAAACUGUUAAAUAAUGAUCAA